UACGGGGGGAGCAAGCGUUGUUCGGAUUUACUGGGCGUAAAGGGCGCGUAGGCGGCCAGCGCAAGUCAGUUGUGAAAUCUCCGGGCUUAACUCGGAACGGUCAACUGAUACUGCGCGGCUAGAGUGCAGAAGGGGCAACUGGAAUUCUCGGUGUAGCGGUGAAAUGCGCAGAUAUCAGGAGGAACACCGGUGGCGAAGGCGGUUCUCUGGGCCUUACCUGACGCUGAGGAGCGAAAGCGUGGGGAGCAAACAGG
rnacentral:rRNA from 1 species